GUCGGUGUGGCCGAGUGGUUAAGGCGUUGGACUUGAAAUCCAAUGGGCUCU
rnacentral:tRNA from 1 species